AGCCCAACGCGGGGCUUGAACUCACAGACCUCGAGAUCAUGACCUGAGCCAAAGUCAGAUGCUUAACUGACUGAGCCACCCAGGGCGCCCCCCACCCCUCCUAUAUUUCUUAAGAGUAGGAAUAGUCUCUUUCAUAGCCUCGGUAUUUUCCUUGAAGCAGUAUUUUUAUCUAAUCUACUGUCAUAUUACAAUUUUGUCAGUUGCCCUAAUAAUCCCCCUUAUAGCAUCCCUGUGCCUCCCCAAGCGCCUCUCUCCCUACCACCCCACCAAGUUUAUGGUCAGAUCCAGUUUAUGGUCAAGCAUUGGAUUUACUUGUCGUGUCUCUUUGGCUUCCUUUAACCUAGAAUUGUUUCCCUUUUAUGGCAUUGACACUUUUGAAGAAUACGGUCUUCCCCUCCCUUUUUAUUCCAGAACAUUCUUCAUUUUCUGUGAAUCACGGCCAUUCUUAAUUACAGAGCUCCACUGCCUCAGUGGGGGCUGAACAAGAAUCGAUAGCCGUAUCUCCUCCAUAAUCUUCCCAGAAAACUGGAUCUCAGGCUCCCUGAAUGGGUCUGGUCAGUGAUAUGAGCACAUGCUGAGUCCCCACUCCACGGAGCCCGCACGAACCUCUGGACCUCUGACCGACCUGCCCGCUUCUUUCCUAAAUUUUGACUUCUGAAAAGAUCAACACAGCUAAACCACUUCAACCCGGCAGGGAGAGGCCCCUGCCUUGGCAUAUCCCUACCCGCUGGAACCCUGACUUAGCAGAAGUUCUCAUCAUGGGAGAUCCAGGAAAGUCUCUGAAAGAAGAUGCCGAGGUUCCCAGGAACACCUUUCCUGAGUCUGUGCUAUGAUUAGGGCAUCUUUGUUUUACGCACCUACGUGAAGCAGACAUUUUUGGCAAUGCCUUUAUUCUACAGAACGCCAGCUAGGUCUAGGGCUAAGAAAAGCACCAUGUUUAUAUGCCCACAAAUUUUCUCAAUCAUGAGCAAAUUAUUUGCUCCUCGCCCCAUGAAAAAAUGAACUUUCUCUUUUGAGAGUUUGGAGAAAAUAAAAAAGAGAAAUUAACCAAUCAAAGAGAGCUUGGACAAUAAAGUGAACAAAGACA